GGGAGCCUGAUGUGGGGCUCGAUCCUAGGACUCCAGGAUCAUGACCCGAGCCGAAGGCAGACGACUAACGACUGAGUCACCCAGGUGCCCCAAGAGCUCUUUUUCUUUUUUUUAAGAUUUUAUUUAUUUAUUUGAGAGAGAGAGAAAGAGUAAGAGAGAGAACACAGAAGCAGAGGGAGAGGCAGACUUCCCACUGAGCAGGGAAUCCAAUGCAGGGCUUGAUCCCAGGACCCUGAGAUCAUGACCUGAUCCGAACCAACUGAGCCACCCAGGUGCUCCUCCAUUGAGAGCUUUUAUAGACCAUAUUUUAUAAAAAGAAUCCACCCACAAUGUAACUUUGCAAGAUGCUCCAUAGAAUGAAUUACAGGCUCCGCUGCCCUUAAGAUCUUUGGACCUAAGACCCAGACAUGAAUUAACCAAGAACUGGGGCACGGUUGGCUGCAAUGAAAUAAGGCAGAGCUGCACAAGAAACAGAAGUCUGCAUUUCUGGAGACACCGUGGAAACUGGUCAGAGAGCUUUAACUCAUACGAUGUAGAGAGCGAUUCUUCUAAGCGGUUGGUGAUGAGCCUAUGUUGGUGACGUUGUGAGUGCUGUUUGUAGAAGUUGCUGGCACUUUAGAGACAGAAAGACCAAGGUUCAAGUUCCGUCUGUGACAUCUACUCUCUCUGUCUCGAUCAUGGACAAAAAUAGAGCACAGAAGGUGCUUCUUAGGGAAGACUUCAUUUUCCCGAUCUUUCACAACUGAAAAGUGGAGCAAAUGAGUAUCUGGAUACAGACCCUUGACACCAAGUGACUGGGAGUAAAUGGAACACUGCAGGGACACAGAACUUUGCCCGCCACUGAGCAUAUUACCCGAGAAAUACAGUACAGACCCAGCAGGCUUCUGCAAACAACACAUCCCUUUAAGUUAAUUGGUGUUAUAUAGAAGCUGAAAUGCUCCGCUUAUUUACAAAGCUACAGAUUUAUGUAAAGCAAAACCAAUUACACUUAAUGCCUAAACUAUUCCAGGUGCUCAAUGAUAAUGUUGCUAGGCUCUAGAGAAGAGACUGCGGGGUGAAUGCAUCCUGUUCCGAAUGGAGGCAUGUGUAGUUACUGCAAUUCAGCUAAUCACAAGUGUCAAGCCCAAUGUGAGAAUUCUAAGCUCUUUUGGUGUUGCUUUGGGUCAACUUUACAAUUCUGUAGAUCUCCUUUCAUCUCUAAGGAUGAGUGAAAGCAUAAUGAGCACUUUUUCUCUAUUAUGAUGUAGAAAUUAGGGAGAUGAAGGCAAAUAAUUAAAAAAAAAACAACUACA